CCAUCCCUCGAGGACCACCGCAAGGGUCGUCGUUACUACGAGCUUCAACAUCGGCAUCAAACACAUGGUCAAGUGAGUCCACUAACAAGCCUGGUGAGCGCCUGGGUCUUCUGCCGUGACGGAACAAGCGCGUAAUAGCUUCAGUUUUAGCUGACACUAGGCAGGCAGGUAGCUGGUUAGUGUCCUGUCACGGAGGAAGACUCAUCCGGUAUGCCAUGGCGCUACUGGUCACAAUUUCGUGCCAAUUUGUAUUCUGGUGCGGAUUGUGGUUUCGGCGGUUGUUUCAGCAAUUUCAGGUCUCGCGUCGACUUCAAUCACUACGGCUACGCAUCGUGCUCAUGCUUCGGCCAAUGACAGAGACACACGUGCUUACCGCCCUAGUCAAAAUACCUGACCUGAUCGCACCAUUCAGCGUUCUUCAUCAUCUCAUCCGCUUAAGCGAAUGAUAUGAAUGAAGAGCGGCAAAAGUCAUGCUCAGUAGCGCAGGCGUACUGGGCUAUUGCGCAUGACGUCUCCCCAACAGCAUCCUUCACUGGAACUU
rnacentral:lncRNA from 1 species